rnacentral:lncRNA from 1 species
GCACGUGGUGCUUGAAUAGUAAGGAAGAGAUUAUAAAUUGAAGGGAAACUUAGCUUGCCCAGGUUCUUCGCACCCAGCCCAGAUGGUGCUGAUGCUUGAAUGUUCAGUGCCUGCUGCCAUAAUCAUUGUUCAGCGGGCGUUUUGCCAGCGGAGCUAGUGGGUGUAAGAGUAGGGCUGCAGGGGAGAGCCUGAGGCUGUGGUCAGCGGAGAAGCGCGGCUGCAAUGCUCUGCAUAGAUGCCGGCGGUGUUUUCGAGCUCAGCGGAGCGACGGUUGGCGGUGCUGAGGUGAUGGCCUCGUUGAACAUUAGCUGAGCGGAUGUGGGUUUCCGCUGAUGGAGAUCAGCGGAGGAAGUACCGCUGACGGAGAGUUGAGCUGGCAGCGGUGCCUAGCUACUGUGGAGCUUUGCUGGCGGAGGUGAUGACUAGUGGAAGUCGACUUGCGAGUGUAGUCCGGCUAGCGGAGGUCAUGAGGUCAGCGGAACCCUUCUUGGGAGGAUGGUGCCUAGCGCUUAGUAUUGACGGAGGAAUUUACCACGCUGCCGCCGACAUAGCUCCGCGGAGGAGUUGUUCAGCGAAACCUGCCGGGGGAGGCCUGGGACACCAGCGGAGUUUACUGAUGCUCCGUCAAGGCUGUGAGCAUCUUGAGCUAGCGGUGCUGUUUUCCCGCUGAUAGUGUUGGGCAGAAGAUGUCGGUGCUGCCGCUGGCGGAGGUACUCCCAAGCUCCAAAAGAGGAUAACCGGCGGUGAUGAUGGGCAGCGGAAGUGCUCGGUUGCCGCUGGGGAUGGCAGGCGGAGCUGGUCAGCGGAGCGGGUCAGCGGAGCUGUGGGACAGCCGUGGAGUAUGGGUAGCGGCACAGUCGCGCUGAAGGGCUCGCCGACGGAAGAUGCUCGGCUGGCCGCUGAGCGCUAGUGGGUCUUGAGAGCUGUUGCUGUCGGUUCUGCUAGUGGUGUUUAGCGGAGCGGGUCAGCGGAGUAAUCGACAGAGCUGGGCGGAGCGGAGUCGCUGGCUGGUGGUGGCAAUGAAGCCUGCUGCUCACUUGGAGCUUGGACUGAGCUAAGCGGAGGCUCGGUGCCGGCGGAGUGUCGUGAAGGUGGCAGCGAGCUGUGAUCGCCGUAGGAGGUAGCGGUAUACAGUUCAGCGGGGAACUGAUGACUGAAGAAUGCCAAAGGGUGUCCAGAGCAAAUCUCUGGGUGGCCAGAGCAAUUUGACACCUUAAUUUUUGUUUUUUUUGUUUUUUUUUUUUGUGAUGGCCAGCGGUGACUUUCGUUGUUGGCGUUGACUAUUUGUUGACCACGUUUGUUCGGCGUUGACCGAACUUGAUCAGCCCUAAGGGCGUUGACCGGCUCAAGUUAUGAGUGGGUGUAGCGUUGAC